rnacentral:rRNA from 1 species
CCCUUAGAUGUUCUGGGCUGCACGCGCGCUACACUGAUGCGUUCAACGAGUUUACGACCUUGCCAGACAUGGCUGGGUAAUCUUCUUAAACUGCAUCGUGAUGGGGAUAGAUUAUUGCAAUUAUUAAUCUUCAACGAGGAAUGCCUAGUAAGCGCAAGUCAUCAGCUUGCGUUGAUUACGUCCCUGCCCUUUGUACACACCGCCCGUCGCUCCUACCGAUUGAAUGGUCCGGUGAAGCGUUCGGACCGUGGCCUUUGGACGGUUCGCCGUCUGUUGGCUGCGGGAAGUUCGUUAAACCUUAUCAUUUAGAGGAAGGAGAAGUCGUAACA